rnacentral:rRNA from 1 species
GAUGAACGCUGGCGGCGUGCUUAACACAUGCAAGUCGAGCGAAGCGAUUUAAAUGAGACUUCGGUGGAUUUUAAAUUGACUGAGCGGCGGACGGGUGAGUAACGCGUGGAUAACCUGCCUCACACAGGGGGAUAACAGUUAGAAAUGACUGCUAAUACCGCAUAAGCGCACGGUACCGCAUGGUACAGUGUGAAAAACUCCGGUGGUGUGAGAUGGAUCCGCGUCUGAUUAGGUAGUUGGUGAGGUAACGGCCCACCAAGCCGACGAUCAGUAGCCGACCUGAGAGGGUGAUCGGCCACAUUGGGACUGAGACACGGCCCAAACUCCUACGGGAGGCAGCAGUGGGGAAUAUUGCACAAUGGGCGAAAGCCUGAUGCAGCAACGCCGCGUGAGUGAAGAAGUAUCUCGGUAUGUAAAGCUCUAUCAGCAGGGAAGAAAAUGACGGUACCUGACUAAGAAGC